UGGAAUCUGUAUGAAAGUAUGGGGUGCCCUUCGGGGAGCCGCAAGACAGGUGGUGCAUGGUUGUCGUCAGCUCGUGUCGUGAGAUGUUGGGUUAAGUCCCGCAACGAGCGCAACCCUUGUGUUUUAGUUGCAAACAGGUCAAGCUGUGCACUCUAGACAGACUGCCGUGGACAACACGGAGGAAGGUGGGGAUGACGUCAAAUCAUCAUGCCCCUUAUGAUCUGGGCUACACACGUGCUACAAUGGCCGGUACAACGGGCAGCGAAGGAGCGAUCCGGAGCGAAUCCUAAAAAGCCGGUCCCAGUUCGGAUUGCAGGCUGAAACUCGCCUACAUGAAGUUGGAGUUGCUAGUAAUCGCGAAUCAGAAUGUCGCGGUGAAUGCGUUCCCGGGUCUU
rnacentral:rRNA from 1 species